rnacentral:rRNA from 1 species
UACGAAGGGGGCUAACGUUGUUCGGAAUCACUGGGCGUAAAGGGCGCGUAGGCGGCUUUAUAAGUCGGGGGUGAAAGCCUGUGGCUCAACCACAGAAUUGCCUUCGAUACUGUAGAGCUUGAGACCGGAAGAGGCAAGUGGAACUGCGAGUGUAGAGGUGAAAUUCGUAGAUAUUCGCAAGAACACCAGUGGCGAAGGCGGCUUACUGGUCCGGUUCUGACGCUGAGGCGCGAAAGCGUGGGGAGCAAACAGG